rnacentral:rRNA from 1 species
CCGGACGGCACGGGUGAGUAACACGUAUCCAACCUGCCGAUGACUCGGGGAUAGCCUUUCGAAAGAAAGAUUAAUACCCGAUGGCAUAGUUCUUCCGCAUGGUAGAACUAUUAAAGAAUUUCGGUCAUCGAUGGGGAUGCGUUCCAUUAGCUUGUUGGCGGGGUAACGGCCCACCAAGGCAUCGAUGGAUAGGGGUUCUGAGAGGAAGGUCCCCCACAUUGGAACUGAGACACGGUCCAAACUCCUACGGAAGGCAGCAG